rnacentral:rRNA from 1 species
UACCAGCACCCCGAGUGGUCGGGACGAUUAUUGGGCCUAAAGCAUCCGUAGCCGGUCUUGCAAGUCUUCCGUUAAAUUACCAGCUGCUUAACGGAUGGGCUGCGGAAGAUACUACAAGACUAGGAGGCGGAAGAGGCAAGCGGUACUCAGUGGGUAGGGGUAAAAUCCUCUGAUCCAUUGGAAGAACCACCAGUGGCGAAAGGCGGCUUGCCCAGAAC